AAUUAUUACUUUCUCUUUGGUAAUCGAUCGCUAACAAUAAUAUUGUAUGAAGAUAACCAAUCAUAUAUUACGUCUAAUGAAUCUAUAUGUGUUUAUUAUCUUUUUUGUAUCCCCUAAAAUAAACCUUGAAAUACCUAAGAGAUUUUAUUAUUUUCAAUAUGCAAGGGAACAUCUGCUAAAAAGGAGAGACGACCGUGAUCUUUCUGGUAAUUUAUUUGUUGGUUUAAAUGUGAAACAAUAUUUUUAGAACUUUUAUUGUUUCUCUUUAAGACUAUAUAACUAACAUGUCUUGUGAGCCUAUAUGCAAAAAAGUACACAAAUGAUACCUUAGAUAUAGAACAUAAAAAUACUCCGACUUAAAAAUAAACAAACAAAGAAACUUGAUUA
rnacentral:sRNA from 1 species